rnacentral:sRNA from 1 species
GCCUCGUGUCCGCGCAUCACCCCGUGGCUGGGGGUUAGCUAGGGGAGGGCGGGAAGGGCAGAGGACGCGGUGGCUGGAGGACGUGUAACCUUGCAAGAGGCGGGAGGCGGGGGGCAGAGGUGAUUGACCCCCGCCCCCCGCCCGUGGGACCAAGAAAGGGAUGUGACAGGCGAGGACGAAUGGGACCUCAGGGGCUGGACUGGAGAGUGGGGUACAGGGAUGUGAGGAGGACCCCGCGAGUCCGCGGUGGGAUCCCAAUAGAGCUGUGGCCAAGGAGGAGGGGAGCAGCGGGAAGGCUGUGGGCACUCCUGUGUGAGGGAAAGCUACAGGCUCCUGCAGGUCCGAGAUCGGCCGAAAUCAGGCACCCCAAGGAAAGCCCUGCUCUGGCCACAUGGUGUCCCCUCAGAAGACUCCACCAGCCGAUGAGGCUGCUGUCAUUUGUGGUGUUGGCUCUAUUUGCUGUCACUCAAGCAGAGGAAGGAGCCAGGCUUUUGGCUUCCAAAUCACUGCUGAACAGAUACGCCGUGGAGGGACGAGACCUGACCUUGCAGUACAACAUCUACAAUGUUGGCUCAAG